UCUGUCAAGUCGGAUGUGAAAUCCCCGGGCUCAACCUGGGAACUGCAUUCGAAACUGGCAGGCUAGAGUCUUGUAGAGGGGGGUAGAAUUCCAGGUGUAGCGGUGAAAUGCGUAGAGAUCUGGAGGAAUACCGGUGGCGAAGGCGGCCCNCCUGGACAAAGACUGACGCUCAGGUGCGAAAGCGUGGGGAGCAAACAGGAUUAGAUACCCUGGGUAGUCCACGCCNGUAAACGAUGUCGAUUUGGAGGUUGUGCCCUUGAGGCGUGGCUUCCGGAGCUAACGCGUUAAAUCGACCGCCCGGGGAGUACGGCCGCAAGGUUAAAACUCAAAUGAAUUGACGGGGGCCCGCACAAGCGGUGGAGCAUGUGGUUUAAUUCGAUGCAACGCGAAGAACCUUACCUGGUCUUGACAUCCACAGAACUUUCCAGAGAUGGAUUGGUGCCUUCGGGAACUGUGAGACAGGUGCUGCAUGGCUGUCGUCAGCUCGUGUUGUGAAAUGUUGGGUUAAGUCCCGCAACGAGCGCAACCCUUAUCUUUGUUGCCAGCGGUCCGGCCGGGAACUCAAAGGAGACUGCCAGUGAUAAACUGGAGGAAGGUGGGGAUGACGUCAAGUCAUCAUGGCCCUUACGACCAGGGCUACACACGUGCUACAAUGGCAUAUACAAAGAGAAGCGACCUCGCGAGAGCAAGCGGACCUCAUAAAGUAUGUCGUAGUCCGGAUUGGAGUCUGCAACUCGACUCCAUGAAGUCGGAAUCGCUAGUAAUCGUAGAUCAGAAUGCUACGGUGAAUACGUUCCCGGGCCUUGUACACACCGCCCGUCACACCAUGGGAGUGGGUUGCAAAAGAAGUAGGUAGCUUAACCUUCGG
rnacentral:rRNA from 1 species